GUCGGAGCUUCAGCUGCUGGCUUCCGCUGCGGACACUCCCUACACCGUCCCUGGAAGGAGUGACCCCCGGGCCUCUACCGCCUGUCCAGUUAGUCUUCCAGUCAGCGAGUUGUGUGUCCUGCUGGGUGCAGGGAGGUCAGAUGACAGGGAUGAGGACAGAGACCAAGCACAGGGAUGGCCAGAGACAUCACAGGAAGUGGAAAUCGAGAUCCAAUCUCUACCCUUCUCACCAGGCUGUCGUUGUUGUUGUGUUGCUUUGUUUUGUUUUUGUUUUUUGAAACAGGGUCUUGCUAAGUAGCCCAGGCUGGCCCUGAAUUCACAAGGAUUCUCCUGCUUCAUCCUCCUGGGUGCUGGGAUUGCAGGCUUGGACCACGACCAGUUCAUCCGGCUGUUAAAAGAAUCAACCUUGAAAAGCCAAUUACUUUAGAAUAGAAGUGACCUGCAAACUGUUAGGUACUCUGCCCACAUUUGUCGGCACGUGACACGCAGUCCCUGGGCUGACCUGAGAUCAGGUGUGAGAUACUAACUGGACACUGAGCAGAGCUGGGCCUGGAAGGAAUUGGGAGGAAAGGGGAAUAAAAGGGUGGCUAGGCCCUUGCCCAUCUCACCACCACCCAACUGACAGCCUUCCCACUGUGCUUUACAGUGUGGUGCCGGCCAUCAGUCCCCAGAUGCUGCUGUGCCUGUCGCCUGCGUCCCUGAACAGAGAUGGAUGUGCCUGGCACGGGAUCCAUCACACAGAGCAGAGCCAGAAGAUGGAGAGCCCAGCCAGCAUGCUGGGAAAGCGCGACCCCACCCCACCACCCCUUCCUGGGGCAGCCUCACUCCAAGGGCACAAGAUUCACGCGCUGCCUACACAGAAUGCAUAAAACCUCCACUGUGUCUGGAUGGGAAGCCACCUCGGAUCCAUGCUGGAAGGAGAUGGGCGAUCAAUCAGGAAUAAUAAAAUAUGCAGGAGCCGCUGCAUUUGCGAGCAUGCAGGCGAGGAAGAGCAGAGCAAGACAAGGAGGCUCGGACAAGCGGGGGCCACGGGCCACUCCGCAGCCAUUCCCGGGGGAGGUGGCCUCUGCUUUCAAGAGGAAGCGACCCUGAGUUGAACGCAGUGUAAUCAAGCUAUGUGGUGAGGGUUAAACAGAAAACAAUUUAUUAUGGGGAAAGCUGCACUGCCGGAAGCUCCUGUCCCGGGACACUCCCCGC
rnacentral:lncRNA from 1 species